GGUGAAAGUGGAGCUAAAUCGGUUGGAGAAUGAAGUUAGAGAUAAAGAUAGAGAUUUGGGAGAAGCACAAGCGGAAAUUAAGGCAUUAAGGAUGUCUGAAAGGCUUAGAGAAAAGGCUGUCGAAGAGCUCUCUGAUGAGGUCUCGAGGAUGGAAGAGAAGCUUAAGUUGACUGAAUCUCUUAUGG